CGUGGAGGAUGAAGGUUUUAGGAUUGUAAACUCCUUUUGUCAGAGAAGAUCAUGACGGUAUCUGACGAAUAAGCACCGGCUAACUCCGUGCCAGCAGCCGCGGUAAUACGGAGGGUGCAAGCGUUACUCGGAAUCACUGGGCGUAAAGAGUGCGUAGGCGGAGUGGCAAGUCAGAUGUGAAAUCCUAUGGCUUAACCAUAGAACUGCAUUUGAAACUGCCACCCUAGAGUGUGGGAGAGGUAGGUGGAAU
rnacentral:rRNA from 1 species